UAAGCAGAGCGUGAAGCGUAUGGCUCAACCAUAUAUACAUGUUCUGAACUGCUAAGCUUGAGUAUGAGAGAGGUAGCUGGAAUUCCUAGUGUAGGAGUGAAAUCCGUAGAUAUUAGGAGGAACACCAAUGGCGUAGGCAGGCUACUGGCUCAUUACUGACACUAAGGCACGAAAGCGUGGGAGCAAACGGGAUUAGAUACCCCGGUAGUCCACGCCGUAAACUAUGGAUGCUA
rnacentral:rRNA from 1 species